rnacentral:rRNA from 1 species
GACGGAGGAUGCAAGCGUUAUCCGGAAUGAUUGGGCGUAAAGCGUCCGCAGGUGGCAGUUCAAGUCUGCUGUCAAAGACCGGGGCUUAACUUCGGAAAGGCAGUGGAAACUGAACAGCUAGAGUAUGGUAGGGGGCAGAGGGAAUUCCUGGUGUAGGCGGUGAAAUGCGUAGAGAUCAGGAAGAACAUCGGUGGCGAAGGCGCUCUGCUGGACCAUAACUGACACUCAGGGACAGAACGCGUAGGGAGCGAAUGGGG